UACGGAGGGUGCAAGCGUUAUCCGGAUUCACUGGGUUUAAAGGGUGCGUAGGUGGGUUGGUAAGUCAGUGGUGAAAUCUCUGAGCUUAACUCAGAACGGCCAAGUGAUACUGCAGUGCUAGAGUGCAGAAAGGGCAAUCGGAAUUCUUGGUGUAGCGGUGAAAUGCGUAGAUAUCAAGAGGAGCACCUGAGGCGAAGGCGGGUUGCUAGGCUGACACUGACGCUGAGUGCGCGAAAGCCAGGGGAGCAAACGGG
rnacentral:rRNA from 1 species